UUUCUUUCAUGAAGAAGAUAUAAGCAAAGCAGGACCACUGGAGCAUGUGGGAGCAGCAAGUGCGGAGUUCUGCGGAGUGGGGACCAAGUCCUCUCAAAGCUGCUGUCAGACUGCAGAUCAGCUUCUGCAGAGCUGAAUCUUGACCCGGAGCAGCAAGUCAGCGCCGGGAAGCAGCGCAGUGGCUGGUGCUCGUAUGCAGCGUGUGUGUUGAGCCCCUAUUGAGCCCCGUACAGACGGUUGAACAGGACUCACAAAGCCUUGUAGUCGUCGUAUACAAACACCAUCCCACCGAACUGACUCGGCUCCACAGAAACCCGCGAAAGAUCUUGAGCUGUCACCUCGGACACGUCUAGGAAGUGUACUGACAGUGAUACUGAGGGUGGGACUGUUGCAAACACACGAGCUGAGAGCCACGAAUGGCCCCGAACUCGCCCCGAUGACCUGCUUCUCAGGCGAUGGAAACAACGCGCCUGGUUCCAGUGAGAUGGAUUCGCCGACAGACCUGGACUCCACGUGCUUGGGAACAGCAGGAAACAGUUUGAGGAUUUCUCCCUGUGAUCUUAGCAGCGUAAUAUGCUGAGCGCGCAGAGAGGAAAGAGGAAUCUUAAAAUCCGUCUGUGUUUAAUGAGCUGGUGAUGCUUUUAACGUGAGAUACAACGUUCUGUUUUAGUGAAUGCUGUCAAGGGUGCAAUUUUUAAAUACAACAGUUACAUUUUGUGAUGAUAAACAACUAAAAGCUUCAGCGUUUCUCAUCAGGAAACACAUUUUUCCUUAUUAUAUUUAUUUGCAUUUGUGCUUUGCUCUUAUUGCUUGUUUUUGCUCGUACAAAAAUUAUGCAAAGCUUGAAAACCAACGACGUAUGAGUAAUUACUCGGAUACAGCCUCUCAAAGGGACAGUCUGGAGCUAAUAAACUUUGUAAUAAUGGCCUAAAAGCAAUAUUUAAUAACUGUUUACUGCAAGAAUGCACACACCCUGCACCGCAUUAGAAAAUUCAUAAUUGCAUGCAUGGAAUGUAUUCAAGUUAAAACUACUUAAACAAAAGUAAAACUUCAAAACACACUGCAACUUUAGACCGAGUAACAGUUCACACUAUAUUUGAGAUGGAACUUGGCUCUAAACGAUUUGAGGACGUUUAAUGGAAACGUGUGUGCCAAUGACACCACUAAGAGUUCUUUGAACGCUUUCCUGGUUUGUUCAAUUAUUUUAUUGUAUAGGACCUCCUUUUCACCGUGGAAUUACAUGGGUCAUGUCCUGGUGGUCAUCCCUACCCUUAAAAUAAAGGAAUGGCUUACUCUGAGUACCAGAUCCAUGUGAUUCACGGCUGUAUUUGGUGAAUAGACGUUCAUAAUACGCCGUUAGCGUGAGACCAAAAAAACGCAACAUGUGAGUCGAAAUGUUAUAUUAGAAAUAAUUAAAUACGUUUUUUAUUUUGAUCUUUUACUUUCUAUUGUUUCCUUUUACAGUAUGUUUUUAACUGUAAUGAACACAUAUACAGAGACAACCUUUUAAGUAAAAUCUUAAAAUUGGCAACAUGAGAGAAAAAAACAGAGAGUUUGUCUUGAUGUUUAAAGGAGGAAUGUUUUUGGCCUCGUCCCUUUUCAGUGCUGCAGCCCCUCGUACUCUGAGCACCUUGACAGUUUAAGGCAAACGACUCCCACCGUCGGGUUCUGAGAUUAACUCUGACAGCCACACUGAGGGCAUUUCUCUCCUUGAGGAGGUUUUGCUGACAUCGUUGGUGGCUUUUGCAGAUUCGAUUUUUAAGGAAAAAAACGACAUAAAUAUAAUAAAAAAACUGUCAACACGUUUCACCAGUUAUUUCUCAUAUAUGUUAUUUUGGCAAGCCAAAGGCACAAACAAUGACAGGAUGAAUAUAUAGACCGAUAAUUCCCUUAUUAUACCCUAUAAGCCACAUUUGUAAUUAUGAAGUUAAUCACCUACAGUACGUGUUCGUAUACCAACAGUAGUAUGAAUACCAACAGCUGUUGCUAUUACUCACAACUAUUAAGUAGACUUGGGAAAAAAUGACCAAUCCACGCUGUUAGGCCCCAAUACUUCUUUAAUGUGUUUUAAUAACUGUACAUUUUCACUCGUCCUUGAGAGCAGUUUCCUCCGAUGACAGAAUUGAGGUUGUUUUUAGCGUCAGAAGUGUGAUGAGGAGCUGGACACAUCCAACCCACCAGACUUUGGGCAGAUAAACAUUGAAGAGACAAAUAGUAUGUCGUUGACCUUUAUAAGCUGAGGUCACAGUAUUAAAUCCUUUGAGCCAUUUCUCAUUUUAUGAGAAGCACACUGCAGCUUCUACAACUGGUAAAUUAUUUAUUUUAUUUAAAGUAUUUCCUAAUCAUGAGUGACACUUGAUCUUGUGCGCAUGAAGCACUUGUUCCAUAACGGAAACGAUGCCUUCACAAAAACGAGACCGGAAUGCUUGAAACUAGUCGCAGUUUGAGAUGGAAAACAACCUUCUUUUUUGCCAGUGUUGGUUUUUAAUGAAGGAUUCACAUAAAAUCAGCCAUAGUAAAUGGAGAGUGUUUUUUGAGUGCAGCCUCUUCAUUGUCUGGGACUGUUUACUGCAUCUGUCGGCCUUCUGUCGGCUUUGCUUUCCAAUCUCUGUGAUUUUUCUGUGCAUGAAAAAGAGGCUCAUCCGUCCUGUUCCUCUCUCCCACUAUUCAUUCCCACCAAACGACUGAACAACUGCUUUAAGAUGCUCCUCCGACUGCUAAUCAUCCCCUGCCGUUUUUAAAACACCUCCACCGAGCUAAAUACCAUUCGGUUCAGCGCAUCACGAUCGACUCGGCGAGAUAGUCGACUGACUUUCCACUCUUCCAUUUAUCUCUCCUUGCUUGGCACAACAGUCAAUACGGACUCAGCUGGCCCAAGCGGAACGGAUUUCAAACCAAACAGAAUCACUGAACCUAUUAGCCCAGAUCUUGUCACAGAAACACGCCCCCAACCAUCAAAGGGGAGGAGUCACAGCUGGUUCGUUGGUUCAAAGUACCAGUCGCAGCAGUGAGGCCCAUUCUGCUAUAAUGUGUCUACCUGUGUCGCUAUUCAUGUCGUAAUAUGGUUCUUUUGGUAUGUUUUAUGUUCAGUGAAGGUUACAGACUGUCAGAUGGCAUCAGCGGUUUCUCCUUUUUUCUCCGUUUUUACGGGCUCCUCCCUUAUGCGCCAU
ensembl:lncRNA